ensembl:snRNA U6 U6 spliceosomal RNA
GUGUUCGCUCCGGCAGCACAUAUAUUAAAAUUAGAAUGAUGCAGAGAAGAUUCGUGUGGCCCCUGCACUAGGAAGACACAUGAAUUCGUGACACAUUCCAUAUUAAA